rnacentral:misc_RNA from 1 species
GUGAAUCAUCGAAUUUUUGAACGCAAAUUGCGCUUCCUAGCAUCCCGGGAAGUAUGCCUGUUUGAGGGUCAGUAUUAACAAAAAAAUCGGUUUAGUUGCAAAUUGUGACGUUUCCGGAGUUUGGGCUAUCUUAACUUUUUUGGUUAAGGGGCUUAAAUUUGACCUUUUUUGCGCAUUUUUAGCCGUACAUAAAUUUUUUUUUUUUUUCGUCUUUUCUUAUUGCCAAAUUCUUAUUAGAUCGGACAAC